UACGGAGGAUGCGAGCGUUAUCCGGAUUUAUUGGGUUUAAAGGGUGCGUAGGCGGCUUUUUAAGUCAGUGGUGAAAUUUUGCAGCUUAACUGUAACAGUGCCGUUGAUACUGGGGAGCUAGGAUUUGGUUGCUGUGGGUGGAAUGUGUGGUGUAGCGGUGAAAUGCUUAGAGAUCACACAGAAUAUCGAUUGCGAAGGCAGCUCACAAAGCCAAGAUUGACGCUGAGGCACGAAAGUGUGGGGAUCAAACAGGAUUA
rnacentral:rRNA from 1 species